CUUGGCUGAAGGUGCUUCAGAAUAUACCUCAGCCAAGGAUGCAGGGGGAAGCAGUCUCUGCGUGGUCCUCUGCCGAUUGCAUCGGGGAAAGUCAUUAAAAAGAAUUAAAAAGGAAACAGAAAGAGACGGAAGACGGGGGAAAAAACCCAACUAAACAGCCCCAAACAGUUAUAAACUCAAACAAAAGAACAACAGGAUCUUCCUGCUCAAAGGUCUGGGCCACUCUUACCUUGACGGCAAAGGACAGCAGCACUCCAGAGAUUUACUGGGAGAAUGGAGGAAAGCCUUGGCUAGAUGGUGGAAGGUGUCUCAGGGAGAGCAGUACCAAGGCUGCUUCAACAGGCUGGUAGCAUGAAGGUAACUCUAAGGACAUCUUGUUGCCUGUGGCUG